GUGCUUUUGGUGACAAGCCGAAUUUCUUCAGCCUCCUGAGGUUGAAGAGGCGCUGCUGCGCCUUCUUCACGAUGCUGUCUGUGUGAGUGGACCAAUUCAGUUUGUCUGUGAUGUGUAUGCCGAGGAACUUAAAACUUGCUACCAAGUUUAAAAAAAAAAGUUUUUAACGUUUUUUAAGUACUACUACUACACCUUCUGCUGCUGCUACUACUACUACAUCUACUAAUUCUACUACUACACCUACUACUACUACUAGUACUGCACCUAUUACUACUACGACCACUACUACUACUACUACUGCGCCUACAACUACUACUACUACACCUACUACUACUACACCUACUACUGCUACUACACCUCCUACUACUACCACUACACCUACUAAUUCUACUACUUCUAAACCUACUACUACUACUAUUACUUCUGCACCUACUACUAACCCAUAAUACUACCCCUAAUACUACUACUACCACUACUACUACUACUACUACUACUACACCUUUUACACCAACUGCUACUACUACCACUACAGCUACUACUACACAUACUACACCAACUACUACUUUUGCUACUACUGCACCUACUACUACUUCUAUACCUACUACUACAUCUACUACACCUGCUAUUACUACUACUACGACUACACCUCCUACUACUACUACACCUCCUACUACUACACCUACUACUACUAGACCUACUAUUACACCUUCUAUUUCACUUACUACACAUAUUGCUACUACUACUACUUCUAUACCUACAAUGCCUACUACUAAUACUACUACUACAACACCUUCUGCUGAACCUACUACUACACCUACUAAUUCUACUACUACUACACCUACUACUACUAGUAUUGCACCUAUUACUACUACGACCACUACUACUACUACUGCGCCUACUACUACACCUACAACUACUACUACAUCUACUACUACACCUACUACACCUACUACUACUACACCUACUACUGCUACUACACCUCCUACUACUACCACUACACCUACUAAUUCUACUACUUCUAAACCUACUACUACUACUACUACUUCUGCAUCUACUACUAACCCAUAAUACUACUCCUAAUGCAACUACUACACCUACUACACCUACUACUACUACUACUACUACUACUACUACUACUACUACUACUACUACUACACCUUUUACACCAACUGCUACUACUACCACUAUAUCUACUACAACACAUACUACACCAACUACUACUUUUGCUACUACUACACCUACUACUACUACUACACAUACUACUACUACUAUUUCUACUACUCCUACUACUUCUACACUUACUAUUACUACUACUACUACCACGCCUAUUACUACUACUACACCUACUACUACUACACCUUCUACACCUACUACUACUACACCUUUUACAUCAACUGCUACCACUAUAACUACAGCUAAUACUACACCUACUACACCUACUACUUCUACACUUACUAUUACUACUACUACUACCACGCCUACUACUACUACUACUACGCCUACUACUACUACACCUUCUACACCUACUACUACUACUACACCUUUUACAUCAACUGCUUCCACUACAACUACAGC
ensembl:lncRNA